rnacentral:rRNA from 1 species
CGCACGGGUGCGUAACGCGUAUGCAAUCUACCUUGUACAGGGGGAUAGCCCAGAGAAAUUUGGAUUAAUACCCCAUGGUGUUUAAGAGUGGCAUCACUUUUUUACUAAAGUUUAGGCGGUACAAGAUGAGCAUGCGUCCCAUUAGCUAGUUGGUAUGGUAACGGCAUACCAAGGCUACGAUGGGUAGGGGUCCUGAGAGGGAGAUCCCCCACACUGGUACUGAGACACGGACCAGACUCCUACGGGAGGCAGCAGUGAGGAAUAUUGGUCAAUGGUCGGAAGACUGAACCAGCCAUGCCGCGUGCAGGAAGACGGUCCUAUGGAUUGUAAACUGCUUUUAUACAGGAAGAAACCCUCUCACGAGUGGGAGCUUGACGGUACUGUAUGAAUAAGCAUCGGCUAACUCCGUGCCAGCAGCCGCGGUAAUACGGAGGAUGCGAGCGUUAUCCGGAAUCAUUGGGUUUAAAGGGUCCGUAGGCGGUUUAAUAAGUCAGUGGUGAAAUCUGGUCGCUCAACGAUCAAACUGCCAUUGAUACUGUUAGACUUGAAUA